UACGGCCAUAUCACAUUGAAACACCAGUUCUCAUAUGAUCACCAAAAUUAAGCAAGCAAUGUUGAGCCUGGUCAGUACCUAGAUGGGUGACCACUUGGGAAUACUAAGUGCUGUAA